AGUGAACGCUGGCGGCAGGCCUAACACAUGCAAGUCGAACGGCAGCACAGGAGAGCUUGCUCUCUGGGUGGCGAGUGGCGGACGGGUGAGGAAAACGUCGGAAUCUGCCUAUUUGUGGGGGAUAACGUAGGGAAACUUACGCUAAUACCGCAUACGACCUACGGGUGAAAGCGGAGGACCUUCGGGCUUCGCGCAGAUAGAUGAGCCGACGUCGGAUUAGCUAGUUGGCGGGGUAAAGGCCCACCAAGGCGACGAUCCGUAGCUGGUCUGAGAGGAUGAUCAGCCACACUGGAACUGAGACACGGUCCAGACUCCUACGGGAGGCAGCAGUGGGGAAUAUUGGACAAUGGGCGCAAGCCUGAUCCAGCCAUGCCGCGUGGGUGAAGAAGGCCUUCGGGUUGUAAAGCCCUUUUGUUGGGAAAGAAAAGCAGCCGGUUAAUACCCGGUUGUCAUGACGGUACCCAAAGAAUAAGCACCGGCUAACUUCGUGCCAGCCGCCGCUGUAACAC
rnacentral:rRNA from 1 species